ACUCCUCAGGCGGGCGCCCAGGCCCGGCCCGGCCCCCCGGGACCCGCACGGGGUCAGCGCUGCGUGGAUCCGCCGUCCUCGUUGUCGCGGGGCCGGGGAGCCGGUCACCGCUCUGGAGAAGACCGGCCCGCAUCCCCCCUGCCCUCCCCUCACGGCGCGGGUGCAGACGCAGCACCCACGCCCCUCGGGCCUCUCUCCCAGGGACCGAUGUCCCAGCAGCACUGACAUGGGCUGUGAUCCCGCCCUGGCCUGGCGCACAGGUGUCGGUCCUCCUCUCCCGCUUCGUGUCUGCGGAGGUCUGUCAGCAAGAGCCGUGGGAUUUGGAGUCUUUCUUCCCCCCUUCUCCCGCACGCGGAGGCCUCCGGGUGCCGUAGUGUCAGGCGGGUCCCAGAGAAGAGCAGGGCUGUCCCCGCGCCGGCAGCACCAGGACCGACCUGUGCUUCUUCCCCGCCCGCAGGUGCAGGGACCGUGAGCAGAGCUGAGCAGCAGUCUCCUGGGAAAGGGCCUGUAACCCUGGAGCUGCAGAGGACUUCCCCAGGGAGAGAGGGGCUCCCUGACACCUGAGCGGGGCCGGGCAGGCCGUCAAACGGGGAGAGCAUGGAGCUCCGGGAGGCCUUUCAGGACAUGGCUGUGUAUUUCAUGCAAGAGGAGUAGAAGCUGCUGGGAGAUGAAGACAAGGGGCUUUACCAGGACCAGAUGCUGAGGAAUUACCAAGCCCUCAUUUCCCUGGAGUCCUGUGUCCAGCUUUGGGCCCCAUACUUCAAGAACAGAUUGGAAAGAGUCCAGUGGAGAGCAUCACAAAUGAUCAGAAGCCUGGGAAGUAUGACUUUGAUUAAGGAAAGGCUCAAAGAACUAGGGUCAUUUUGUCUGGAGAAGAGAAGACUGAGGAGAUUUUUGGUAGCAUCCUCAACUUCCUGAAAGGUGAUUAUGGAGAGGAUGGAGAUGGGCUUUUCCCUGUGGCUGGACAGGACAGGACUAAGAAACAGCCUCAAGCUUCAACAGGGGAAAUUUAUGUCGGAGAUGAGGAGGGUCUUUCUGACUAUGAGGCUGGUCAUGCACCAGCACAGGCUGCCUGGAGAAGUUGUAGAGUCUCCAUCCCUGGAAGUGUCACAAGGAGGCUGGCCAACCCCUUGGUUGGGAUGGCUUUCAUCAGGGAGGACUUUGUCUUGAGCAGGGGGCUGGACAAGAUGACUUGCGAGGUCCAUUCAUAAUGCUGAGUUGAAGGGUUUAGGGAAUGCACUGAUAUAACUAACGGUGCAUUAUCUUCUGAUUGGAUUGUGUAUGUAUGAAGAUACACAAACUGGAGGGAGACUGGAUUUGUGUAACCUUGCAGCUGCCUUUUGGCCACUCCCAUCACCUGGCUGCAAGGGAAUAAAGCUA